GCCUUUGUGGUGUAAUGGUCAGCACACUGAGCCGGUAUUUCAGAGGUCCGUGGUUCAAUCCCCGGUGAAGGCU
rfam:Stegodyphus mimosarum contig106825, whole genome shotgun sequence.